GAUGAACGCUGGCGGCGUGCCUAAUACAUGCAAGUCGAGCGAACGGACGAGAAGCUUGCUUCUCUGAUGUUAGCGGCGGACGGGUGAGUAACACGUGGAUAACCUACCUAUAAGACUGGGAUAACUUCGGGAAACCGGAGCUAAUACCGGAUAAUAUUUUGAACCGCAUGGUUCAAAAGUGAAAGACGGUCUUGCUGUCACUUAUAGAUGGAUCCGCGCUGCAUUAGCUAGUUGGUAAGGUAACGGCUUACCAAGGCAACGAUGCAUAGCCGACCUGAGAGGGGGAUCGGCAACACUGGAACUGAGACACGGACCAGAAGCCUACGGGAGGCAGCAGUAGGGAAUGUUCCGCAAUGGGCGAAAGCCUGACGGAGCAACGCCGCGUGAGUGAUGAAGGUCUUCGGAUCGUAAAACUCUGUUAUUAGGGAAGAACAUAUGUGUAAGUAACUGUGCACAUCUUGACGGUACCUAAUCAGAAAGCCACGGCUAACUACGUG
rnacentral:rRNA from 1 species